rnacentral:rRNA from 1 species
UAAAAAGUUACUCAAGCGCACACAAAGGAUGCCUUGACAUAAGAUACCGAUGAAGGACGUGAUAGGCUGCGAAAUGCCUCGGGGAGCUGCCAAAUAAGCUUUGAACCGAGGAUGUCCGAAUGGGGAAACCCGGCUAGGGUCAUACCUAGUCACUCUUAUCUGAAUAAAAUAGGAUAUGUAGCGGUAAGCUGGGGAACUGAAACAUCUUAGUACCCAGAGGAAAAGAAAGUAAACAACGAUUCCGGUAGUAGUGGCGAGCGAAUCCGGAAGAGCCCAAACCUUUUAGGUUUUUGCCUGGUAAUUUAUUACUAGGUAAAUAAGUUGACAGACGAAUAUCUAAAAGGGGUUGUGAGAGUCAAAUAACCAAGCCAGAACGCUAAAUUUAUUUAGCUGUCUGGUUUGCGGCUAGAACUGUCAUUUUCUAGCAUAAGGUCAGAAAUUAGCGUUGCGAGCAGAAGUGUUUGGAACAAUACGCCAUAGACGGUGAGAGCCCGGUAUGCAAAGUAUCGCUAACCUUAUAAUUUGACGG